rnacentral:lncRNA from 1 species
UUUCCUGUGUCAUCAAUACAACUUGGUUGACCAAACUUUCUUCAUUUAACUUCAUUUAAUGUUAAAGACAAGACUCUCAAACUUGUCUCCUUUCACGUGUCUUGAGCAUCCACUUUCAAAUACCAAUCUUGCUUGGUGGAUGUCAAGCACACCUACAAAAAUAAUUAAGUUUUGGAUCUAGGUACCCAAUUCAAAGUGGGUC